rnacentral:lncRNA from 1 species
UUAGCCUUUUGUUACUUCUGCAGCAUCUUUUCAGGACGUGCUGUUUUUAAAGUCUGUUGCUGGGUCACUGUGUUUAGAUUGGUGCCUCCUUUGCCAAAGUCCUGCCUAGGAGCCUCUAAGGGUGGUUAACACAAUGACCUGAUAACCUCCACCUGGAGAAGACUGACUCUGGUGAAAGCUAUAGACCCUCCAGGCUAAGAGAAGACCUAGAAUUUGGAUGCGAGUCAGGUCAGAGGUAGCUUGGGUUCUAGAAACAGUUAGAUGACAUCAUUUUAGAAGCAUAUACUAGUUAAGUGGCUGGGCAAUGCUGCUUAAAAGUUUACAUUACAAGAAGCUGGAGAGAUGGCCUAGUGGGUUACGUGCACUGGCUGCUUUUCCAGAGGAUCAGGGUUCAAUUCCCAGCACCCAUGUGGCUGUCUGUAACUCUAGUUCCAGGGGAUCUGAUGCCUUCACAUAGACAUACAUGUAGGCAAACACCAAUGCUCAUUAAAAAAAAAAAAGUUUACAUGACAGGGCUGGGGGGGCCCUGGGUUUGAUUCCGAGCACCAAAUAAAACUGAAUGGUGGUAGUGGUUGUGAAUACCAUAAUCUCUAGUACUUGGUGGUAGAGACAGGAGGAUCAGAUUGGAGUUCAAGGUCAUCUUUGGCUACACAUAGCACAGUUUUAGACCAGGCUGGAUUACAAGAGAUGUUUCAAAAAACAGAACCCUACAGACAACCUGCCCCAUUAUUUCACAUUUUACCUGAGCUCAGAGCUGUAUGGGGCUGAGGCGGGGCCAGGCUGGUGUCUGCUCAUCUCAAUCAGGUGGUCCAUCGAGCACUGGUGCAGGUGGCUCAGGAAAAUUCCCCAAGAGGUUGGCUCUCGGCAACUUCGCCAUCAGGGGUCUGAUGUUGCAGGGAAAGAGAAACCAUUUCUCCUCCACCCAGGCAAGCUGGGGCCUCUCUUCCUAUUUAACCAGAGAAGAUAACUUCUCAUGGACACACUUUUAGCUCCCAUUAGAGAUCCCAUUAUUCCAAGAAGUCUGGUUCUCCUGUCUCCCAAGCCUGUGGGAAUAUGGACUGGCAAUGUCACGUGACUUCUGUCUGUCGUCUGUGAGGUGUGGUGCAGGAACUAGUGAGGUUCCCUGGAGUAAAAUCUUGGAAUCUUGGGUAUUAACUUAGCCUUCCUGGGGCGGUAUUUCUUCCUAAUGUCAGGCUGGACUGAGAAGUCGUGGACGGUCAUGUGGGCUGUGACCUGGGCACCUCUUUCUUUUGUUUGUGCUUGCCAGAGCGAGCCAAAGUAAGAGAGGGAGAAAAGUCACAGGUCGAAGUUGUGGCAGCCAGAUCCAGACAAUCCCAGGUGAAGGGCUUUCUGACUUAGUCUGCUGAGGAGAGCUACUGAGGGCUCACUGGCUAGAAGUGGCUUUUUUUGUUUUGUUUUGUUUUGUUUUCCUUUUACCAUGGCCAGUCAUAAGAAAACCAUUCUCCAUCACAGUCGGGUCGCACCCAGACAUGGGAUUUCAGUGACAUGCAGGAAGCAGCUUUGUUGGCAUUUUCUAUUCUGCCUAAGCACACUGGCCGUAUAAUGUUGGUAGCUAGGCUCUGUGCACAGACCCGCUGGGAUGCUCUCACAAUAAAGUAGCAUGUCCCGAUGCUCUUCAUUCUGAUGCUACUUUAUUGUGAGACUUUUGAGAUUUCCUUCUAUUGAAUUCAUGACUGAUUACAAAUAUUUAUGCAACAUGCCACGCUUCCAAACAACCACUUCUGAACGCAUCAUCAUGAUGGGCUAUUUUUUUUUUCUUCUUCUUUGAGUUUAUGUUAGUACCUAAUAAUAGGUUUGCUUGCAGUGCUCUCAUGCACCCUUGGUUUCUGUCAGGUGUCUUCCUCCAUCCCUCCCCACAUCUCUCUACGCCUGCCUUUCCUCGUCCGUAUCUUCUAGUCUUUUCCCUCUUGUGGAUCUUCUCUAGUUUCCCAACCUCCACCCUACCCACUCCUACACAAAUACACUCAGACAAAAGCCAGGAUCCUCAUCUGCAGUGUCUGCUUUUGUGAGCCUAUAUAAUACUUUUCAGUUUUGAGAACCUACAAGGGAAAUCAGAAAACGGAUGGGCUCUUAAGCUUCCGUUCAGCACUCCAGGGUUGUAAGAGAACCCUGUGCUCCGUCAGGAAGCCUCUUGGUCUGACUUGAUGGCCUUCCAGACAUGGAGAGCCAAGCUCAUAGCUCUGCAUGGCAGAAUCCAGUUUCAUAAGUGGGCUGGUAUUGUCCUUUUGUAAGGCCCUCCUGGGCGAGGACAGAAAUGAGGUGCUGAUUGAGUGAGGGUCCAUGGUCCCCUAGGAGAGCAACUGAGAAUUUUCUACCCCAUGAAAAGAGCAGAGAUGGGCUCUGAGGUCUGUGAUUUUCACUGCUGGGCCAAGGAUCUUGAGCUUGUGUGUCCUGAGUGCCAAUUGGCCAUUGGUUAGGAGAUAUUUCUCCUCUACUAAUUUGGUCCAGCCUUCAUGGCACACCAAGCACCUACCCCUCUCUGUAGGUUCUGGUGCUGAAUUUCCAUCUUCAGGCCGUCAUGGUUGGAGGAGAAAACAGCAACUCACAGAAGGUAGAGACACAUUACCACCCAGGUAGCAUUGCUGAACUCAGGGCUGGGACUGUGGGUUAAACCCUAGUUCUUAGAACUGAGGUCUCUAGGUUUCUAUAUUCUGUGACUUCUACUUUAUUCUUGGAAAACACUGUCCUUCACUUUCCAGAGCCUACACCACUGAGCUGUGUCUGAACACCAAUGACGAGUGAGAACACAAAAACUUAGGAACUUAAUUGCUCUUUUUCGUGAGAUAAAUAAAAUGGGGUGGUUGGUUGGUAACCAAACACUUGAGAGAGCAAAGAAGUUUAGAUUAUUCAGUCAAAAAAAUGAGCAUUUUGUUAACUUGGCCAACUUUAUUUUAUUGCCAGAGGAACAGAAUAUUCUGUUAGAUAAAGAGGGUUCAAGUCUGUAGGUGGCCUUUGUAUAAUUCACUACAAAAGCCGUAAUUUAAAAAGAGGCUGUAAGGGAAGGGAACGGGCGAUUUCUCCAGUUAAUUUUGUGGGCUAAUUAUACAGCAUUUCCAGUGAUGAAUAUAUAAAUAUGCCAUUGAAUGUAGCAUAAGCACUGUAUUGUAUUUGCACAUAUGUGUUUGUUUUACAUUUGCCUACUCACUCCACAGAAUUUCUCAGAACAGGAUCCAGUUCUCUCUAAAAUCUUGUAUACUUUAGAAAUAAUGUUUCUUUGAGUGUAGAUACGUCUAACUUGAGUAUAGGUAUGUCUAACUUGUCUGAAUCAAGAAUAGAAAGAAGGGAAGAGGGCAUUCACACGUAAUAUCUUUAAUAGGAAUUUGAUAUUGCUGUCACACAUUUACCUUGGUGGAUUGGACAUUCAAGCAAAAUGAAUAGGUUGUUCCUUAACCCUAGAAAAUGUAAGACACAUUGGUUCAACGUUUCAUCUUGCUGUGGCAAGAUAACUUGACAGAAGCAACUUAGGGAAGGAUUUAUUUUAGCUCACAGUCUGAGGGGAUGGUCAGUCCAUCAUGGUGGGCAAGGCACAAGGCAGGGGCUUGAGGAGGUUGCCCACAUUGCAUCUAGUCAGGAAGCCACAAGAGAUGAGCCCCUGGCAUGGCGCUGUCCACAAUCAGGCCGGGUCUUUCCACAUCAAGUAACAUAAUCUAGAAACUCCCCACUAUCAACUCUCACAAAAGGCAAACUGAGCGCCUGGGAAGCAGUCAAAGGCUUAAUAAACACUCAUCUUUAUAGUUGUUUAAACUGCUCAGUUAUUCUGCCUAGGGAGCAAAGUCGUUCUAAAACCAAGGAUUCUUCGAGCAUCCUCUGGAAGCAAUGCUAUGCUUGGGAGUCAUGGUGGUGUCUCUAGAAAAAGAAUUGUAGUUGUUUUAUAAGUAUAGUUGUGUCCACAGAUGCUUCAUGCAAUAAGAAACCAACUCAAAGCAUCCCAGAGGCACAAAAGCCAUCAGAACCUAAGGAUGAAGAGUAAUCAUUUAUACCUGUUCCUGGUACCUCCUGGCUUUGGCCAGUGAAAGGUGAACAUGAAUGGCGAUGGGAAACUGUUCCAGGGUGGGGCUGGGCGGGGCAGGGUGGGGCUGGGAAAAGGAAUAAAGGCUUUCUCCUACUUAGGGAGAACAACACUCUCACUCUAGAUUCCCCUGGGGAGUUGGAGACACCAGGGAUUUUUUUUUUUUUCAACGUGGAAGAGCCAAGCCUUUUUCAUCUGGCUAAUUAGGAAGUCUUGUGG